rnacentral:rRNA from 1 species
CCUACGGGGUGCAGCAGUGAGGAAUAUUGGUCAAUGGGCGCGAGCCUGAACCAGCCAAGUAGCGUGAAGGAUGACUGCCCUACGGGUUGUAAACUUCUUUUAUAAAGGAAUAAAGUGAGCCACGUGUGCCUUUAUGUAUGUACUUUAUGAAUAAGGAUCGGCUAACUCCGUGCCAGCAGCCGCGGUAAUACGGAGGAUCCGAGCGUUAUCCGGAUUUAUUGGGUUUAAAGGGAGCGUAGAUGGGUUGUUAAGUCAGUUGUGAAAGUUUGCGGCUCAACCGUAAAAUUGCAAUUGAUACUGGCAGUCUUGAGUACAGUUGAGGUAGGCGGAAUUCGUGGUGUAGCGGUGAAAUGCUUAGAUAUCACGAAGAACCCCGAUUGCGAAGGCAGCUUACUAAACUGCCACUGACAUUGAUGCUCGAAAGUGUGGGUAUCAAACAGGAUUAGAUACCCCAGUAGUC